UACGAAGGGUGCAAGCGUUACUCGGAAUUAUUGGGCGUAAAGCGCACGUAGGCGGCAUUGCAAGUCGGAUGUGAAAUCUUAUGGCUUAACCAUAAAAGUGCAUCCGAAACUGCAGUGCUUGAGUACUUAAGAGGAUCGCGGAAUUCCCGGUGUAGAGGUGAAAUUCGUAGAUAUCGGGAGGAACACCGGUGGCGAAGGCGGCCCACUGGUCCGGUACUGACGCUGAGGUGCGAAAGCGUGGGGAGCAAACAGG
rnacentral:rRNA from 1 species